rnacentral:rRNA from 1 species
UCUCCGUAGGUGAACCUGCGGAGGGAUCAUUACACAAAUAUGAAGGCGGGCUGGAACCUCUCGGGGUUACAGCCUUGCUGAAUUAUUCACCCUUGUCUUUUGCGUACUUCUUGUUUCCUUGGUGGGUUCGCCCACCACUAGGACAAACAUAAACCUUUUGUAAUUGCAAUCAGCGUCAGUAACAAAUUAAUAAUUACAACUUUCAACAACGGAUCUCUUGGUUCUGGCAUCGAUGAAGAACGCAGCGAAAUGCGAUAAGUAGUGUGAAUUGCAGAAUUCAGUGAAUCAUCGAAUCUUUGAACGCACAUUGCGCCCUUUGGUAUUCCAAAGGGCAUGCCUGUUCGAGCGUCAUUUGUACCCUCAAGCUUUGCUUGGUGUUGGGCGUCUUGUCUCUAGCUUUGCUGGAGACUCGCCUUAAAGUAAUUGGCAGCCGGCCUACUGGUUUCGGAGCGCAGCACAAGUCGCACUCUCUAUCAGCAAAGGUCUAGCAUCCAUUAAGCCUUUUUUUCAACUUUUGACCUCGGAUCAGGUAGGGAUACCCGCUGAACUUAAGCAUAUCAAUAA